GACUGUACAAAGGUAGCAUAAUCAUUUGUCUUUUAAUUGAAGGCUGGUAUGAAUGGUUAGAUGAAAUAUAUACUUUCUUUAUUUUAUAUAAAAAAAUUAACAUUCUAUUUAAAAGGAUAGGAUAUUUUUAUAGGACGAGAAGACCCUAUAGAAUUUUAUUUUCUUUUAUAUAUAAAUUUUAUAGUUUUAUAUAAAAUUAUAUAUAAAUGUUAAUUUUGUUGGGGUGACCGAAAAAAUUUUAUAACUUUUUCUAUUUUUUUCAUUUAUAUAUGAUUAUUUUGAUCCUUUUUUAAGGAAAAUAAGAUUAAAUUACCUUAGGGAUAACAGCGUUAUUUUUUUAUAGAGUUCUUAUCGAUGAAAAAGUUUGCGACCUCGAUGUUGGAUUAAAAUAAGUGGCAGGAGUAGAAUAUUGUUUACUAGGUCUGUUCGACCUUUAAAUUUUUACA
rnacentral:rRNA from 1 species